GGGAAGUUGCCCUGGCCCUGGAGAAAUCUGAUCUGCAGAACUGCACAAAUGCCUCUAUCCCUCUAAGGGAGAUCUCACACCCUGGCAAGGGGGAAUUUGGACACAAACGGACAUACAAGAAUGCCAUGUGACCCUGAAGGCAGAUAUCAGAUGAUGUUUCUACAAGCCAACAAAAUGCCAAAGAUUACCAGCAAACGACCAGAAGCUACGAUCAAGGAAUGGAACAGAUUCUCUCUCAGAGUCCUCAGAAGGAAGAACCCUGCUGAUACCUUGAUCUCAGACUUCCAGCCUCCAAAACUGGGAGAUGAUGCAUUUCUUUCGCUCCAUGAAGAAAGACAGAGGAAUUGAUGUGUGUUCAAGACUUGAGAGCCAUGGAGAGGAGCUGGUAUCACCACUGCCUGCAGCUCAGGCCCAUCACUGCAUCCUUCACUCCACCAUUCCUCACCUGGAUUCACCUCACCCCUGACGUUAGAACCUGAACACGCCUCCGAAACUGGUGAGACAGAGGAGAGAAACUAAGCAUACAGUACCUGUCCUGUCUUGUCAAAGGGAAGCCUGACCUUCGUGAGCACAGAUAAGACUUCAGAAUCCUUCUCAGUUCUGCAUUCCAGGCAGUCACUACCAGUCAGAUGGAACUGACAUUCAAAAUG
rnacentral:lncRNA from 1 species